rnacentral:rRNA from 1 species
GAUGAACGCUGGCGGCGUACCUAAUACAUGCAAGUCGAGCGAACGGACGAGAAGCUUGCUUCUCUGAUGUUAGCGGCGGACGGGUGAGUAACACGUGGAUAACCUACCUAUAAGACUGGGAUAACUUCGGGAAACCGGAGCUAAUACCGGAUGAUAUUUUGAACCGCAUGGUUCAAAAGUGAAAGACGGUCUUGCUGUCACUUAUAGAUGGAUCCGCGCUGCAUUAGCUAGUUGGUAAGGUAACGGCUUACCAAGGCAACGAUGCAUAGCCGACCUGAGAGGGUGAUCGGCCACACUGGAACUGAGACACGGUCCAGACUCCUACGGGAGGCAGCAGUAGGGAAUCUUCCGCGAUGGGCGAAAGCCUGACGGAGCAACGCCGCGUGAGUGAUGAAGGUCUUCGGAUCGUAAAACUCUGUUAUUAGGGAAGAACAUAUGUGUAAGUAACUGUGCACAUCUUGACGGUACCUAAUCAGAAAGCCACGGCUAACUACGUGCCAGCAGCCGCGGUAAUACGUAGGUGGCAAGCGUUAUCCGGAAUUAUUGGGCGUAAAGCGCGCGUAGGCGGUUUUUUAAGUCUGAUGUGAAAGCCCACGGCUCAACCGUGGAGGGUCAUUGGAAACUGGAAAACUUGAGUGCAGAAGAGGAAAGUGGAAUUCCAUGUGUAGCGGUGAAAUGCGCAGAGAUAUGGAGGAACACCAGUGGCGAAGGCGACUUUCUGGUCUGUAACUGACGCUGAUGUGCGAAAGCGUGGGGAUCAAACAGGAUUAGAUACCCUGGUAGUCCACGCCGUAAACGAUGAGUGCUAAGUGUUAGGGGGUUUCCGCCCCUUAGUGCUGCAGCUAACGCAUUAAGCACUCCGCCUGGGGAGUACGACCGCAAGGUUGAAACUCAAAGGAAUUGACGGGGACCCGCACAAGCGGUGGAGCAUGUGGUUUAAUUCGAAGCAACGCGAAGAACCUUACCAAAUCUUGACAUCCUUUGACAACUCUAGAGAUAGAGCCUUCCCCUUCGGGGGACAAAGUGACAGGUGGUGCAUGGUUGUCGUCAGCUCGUGUCGUGAGAUGUUGGGUUAAGUCCCGCAACGAGCGCAACCCUUAAGCUUAGUUGCCAUCAUUAAGUUGGGCACUCUAAGUUGACUGCCGGUGACAAACCGGAGGAAGGUGGGGAUGACGUCAAAUCAUCAUGCCCCUUAUGAUUUGGGCUACACACGUGCUACAAUGGACAAUACAAAGGGCAGCGAAACCGCGAGGUCAAGCAAAUCCCAUAAAGUUGUUCUCAGUUCGGAUUGUAGUCUGCAACUCGACUACAUGAAGCUGGAAUCGCUAGUAAUCGUAGAUCAGCAUGCUACGGUGAAUACGUUCCCGGGUCU